rnacentral:rRNA from 1 species
CCUACGGGAGGCUACAGUGGGGAAUAUUGGGCAAUGGGCACAAGCCUGACCCAGCAACGCCGCGUGAAGGAAGAAGGCUUUCGGGUUGUAAACUUCUUUUCUGAGGGACGAAGUAAGUGACGGUACCUCAGGAAUAAGCCACGGCUAACUACGUGCCAGCAGCCGCCGUAAUACGUAGGUGGCAAGCGUUAUCCGGAUUUCUUGGGUGUAAAGGGCUGGUAGGCGGGAAAGCAAGUCAGAUGUGAAAACUCAGGGCUCAACCCUGAGCCUGCAUUUGAAACUGUGUUUCUUGAGUGCUGGAGAGGCAAUCGGAAUUCCGUGUGUAGCGGUGAAAUGCGUAGAUAUACGGAGGAACACCAGUGGCGAAGGCAGAUUGCUGGACAGUAACUGACGCUGAGGCGCGAAAGCGUGGGGAGCAAACAGGAUUAGAUACCCCAGUAGUC